AGGAAGAGGUAUUGUCAGUGCAUCGAAGAGCCCCGAAGAUUUGGCUGACAAAUUAUUUUCAGCUUUCUUUUUCGGUUCCAAACGAAUUGUGACGUUAACUGAACAAGAUAUUGUCGGGAUUGACGCUCUACAGGCUUUGGC